CCUACGGGAGGCAGCAGUGGGGAAUUUUGGACAAUGGGGGAAACCCUGAUCCAGCAAUGCCGCGUGUGCGAAGAAGGCCUUCGGGUUGUAAAGCACUUUUAUUCGGAGAGAAAUCCCUUGGGCUAAUACCCUGAGGGUCUGACGGUACCGGAUGAAUAAGCGCCGGCUAACUACGUGCCAGCAGCCGCGGUAAUACGUAGGGCGCGAGCGUUAAUCGGAAUUACUGGGCGUAAAGCGUGCGCAGGCGGUUUUGUAAGACAGAUGUGAAAGCCCCGGGCUCAACCUGGGAAUUGCAUUUGUGACUGCAAGGCUAGAGUGUGUCAGAGGGAGGUGGAAUUCCGCGUGUAGCAGUGAAAUGCGUAGAGAUGCGGAGGAACACCGAUGGCGAAGGCAGCCUCCUGGGAUAACACUGACGCUCAUGCACGAAAGCGUGGGGAGCAAACAGGAUUAGAUACCCUGGUAGUCCACGCCCUAAACGAUGUCAACUAGUUGUCGGGAAUUAAAUUUCUUGGUAACGCGAGCUACGACGUGAGUAGACCGCCGUGGGAGGACGGCCGCGAAGUUAAACGUUACGAAUAGUUAGUUAGACGGCGNGAGAGNGCGACGGACGACGACGAGGGAGGAGG
rnacentral:rRNA from 1 species